rnacentral:rRNA from 1 species
UACGUAGGUGGCAAGCGUUGUUCGGAAUUACUGGGCGUAAAGGGUGCGUAGGCGGCUUUCUAAGUUGGAUGUGAAAACUAUGGGCUCAACCCAUAGCCUGCAUCCAAAACUGGAGAGCUUGGGUUCUGGAGGGGAAAGCGGAAUUCCUGGUGUAGCGGUGAAAUGCGUAGAUAUCAGGAGGAACACCGGUGGCGAAGGCGGCUUUCUGGACAGAUACCGACGCUGAGGCGCGAAAGCUAGGGGAGCAAACAGG